rnacentral:rRNA from 1 species
UACGGAGGGAGCUAGCGUUGUUCGGAAAUACUGGGCGUAAAGCGCACGUAGGCGGCGCAGCAAGUCAGGGGUUGAAAUCCCGGGGCUCAACCCCGGAACUGCCUUUGAAACUGCAGUGCUAGAAUCUUGGAGAGGCGAGUGGAAUUCCGAGUGUAGAGGUGAAAUUCGUAGAUAUUCGGAAGAACACCAGUGGCGAGGGCGACUCGCUGGACAAGUAUUGACGCUGGAGGUGCGAAAGCGUGGGGAGCAAACAGG